rnacentral:tRNA from 1 species
AGUACCUCCAGCUGGUGCGCGGCUACGACCCGCUCCAGGCGGGCCUGGCGGAGCUGCCGGCCUUCGCCGGUUCGGUGGCCGGCGGGCUGCUG